rfam:Danio rerio chromosome 4, GRCz11 reference primary assembly.
GUUUCCGUAGUGGUUAUCACGUUCGCCUCACACGCGAAAGGUCCCCAGUUCGAAACUGGGCGGAAAC